AGCAGCCGCGGUAAUUCCAGCUCCAAUAGCGUAUAUUAAAGUUGUUGCAGUUAAAAAGCUCGUAGUUGAAUUUCGGGGUCAGUAGGUUGGUCGUGCCACCGGUACGUACUGGUCUCACUGAUUCCUCCUUCCUGAUGAGCUGUAAUGCCAUUAAUUUGGUGUUGCAGGGAAUCUGGACUGUUACUUUGAAAAAUUAGAGUGUUUAAAGCAGGCUAACGCUUGAAUACAUUAGCAUGGAAUAAUGAAAUAGGACGUUCGAUCCUAUUUUGUUGGUUUCUAGGAUUGACGUAAUGAUUAAUAGGGAUAGUUGGGGGCAUUAGUAUUCAAUUGUCAGAGGCGAAAUUCUUGGAUUUAUUGAAGACUAACUACUGCGAAAGCAUUUGCCAAGGAUGUUUUCAUUAAUCAAGAACGAAAGUUAGGGGAUCGAAGACGAUCAGAUACCGUCGUAGUCUUAACCAUAAACUAUGCCGACUAGGGACCGGAUGAUGUUAAUUUUUAAUGACUCA
rnacentral:rRNA from 1 species